UACGUAGGGACCAAGCGUUGUUCGGAUUUACUGGGCGUAAAGGGCGCGUAGGCGGCAAUUCAAGUCAGCUGUGAAAUCUCCGGGCUUAACUCGGAACGGUCAGCUGAUACUGCUUUGCUAGAGUGCAGAAGGGGCAAUCGGAAUUCUUGGUGUAGCGGUGAAAUGCGUAGAUAUCUGGAGGAACACCGGUGGCGAAGGCGGCGUUCUGGACUGUAACUGACACUGAAGAACGAAAGCCAGGGGAGCAAACGGG
rnacentral:rRNA from 1 species